UUCCUUGUAGCGUAAUGAAUAGCGCUUUGGACCUCUAUUCCAAAGGUCGUGGGCUCGAGUCCCACCUGGGAUG